rnacentral:lncRNA from 1 species
UGCUUACAAUGAUGUGCUGGUUAAAAAAUGAGCUGAUCCGAUUUUACUGGCCUUAUUUGACUUUAUUUCUCUGUUUUGGUCUCCUCAUUUAUCCUUUUCCUUACAGAUCAAAUAGAUAUUAAAUGAAGAGCUCAAAAUUAUUUUAAAAAACAAUGUUGAAUCCAAAUUGCAGAUAUCUAUUCAGUAAAUCAUGCUAAGUAGAUAAGAUUCUUAUUUCUUCUUAUUUACCUAAAAAAAACCCCAAAAGCUGGUUGUGUUUUGGCUUCAGAAAGCGAGAUCUUGUAGUUGAGACAGGAUAGAAAUAGCCUUUAAAAGCUAAAUGAAAUGAAUAGUCUUGCAAAGGGAAAAAAAGAGGAAUUUUUCAUGAGUCCCUGGAAACCAGCAAAAAAGCAUCAAAACUGUUGUUUUCAGUAAUAAUUGUGAUUACUUGGUUAAAAUACCCCGUACGAGAAGCUUUCGAUGUUUUUUGUGCCUCUACAAGGAAAAUUAAAACAGAACACACAGCAUUGGGGCCAAUUUGUUUCCAAGGAAGUCAAUUAUUAAUACUGUAUUUAGUAUUUAAUGAACUAAGCCGAUGUAUGUGAAACGCUGCAGAGAUCUCCUUACCAGCGGAGAACAGGUGUUGAUAGAAGCUUUGCCCGUAUGUUUACCAGCUGAUUAGUACCCAUUAAAAUGAUAAUAAUCUAAUAAAAAUUACUUUAUGUCUAGUGAAAGUUGAAAGUCCCCUGUGUAUUGGAGAAUGAUUUUUUUUCUAUUGCAUGGCAGUGAUAGGAUUGAAGUGACAAGAAUCCACCCCCAAAGCAGCGUGAAUGUUCUGAAUUUCUAUGCCUUAGACUUUUCACUUCAAGUGUCCCUUUCUCCAAAGGUUGACUCUGGCAGUCAGGACACUUCACUGUUUUUCAUGGCUUCAAGGGAAGGACAGUUACCAACCCACCAAAAUCCUCUGGCAAUAGGAAAAGGAAUCAGAUCCUUAGUAAACGACACUACCUUGUCCAUCUUAGGAGACCAGAGGAGAAACUAUGGGUGUCCUGAAGGACUGUUCUGGGCUUUGGUUGUCCCAGACAGCCCCGAGCAGUUGCUAAGGAAACUCUGAGCCAUCUGUGAGCUGGCAGUUUCCUGGGAAACCCUUGAUUUCAGGCUAGCCGUAGUCAAAAUUGUUAUGAAUGUGAGGUCACAUCAUCCCCAGCCUCACACUUCUGACCCCUUCUCUUCAUGACGUGCUCCACUCAUUCUGUCUCAGCUGAGCCUUGCACACUUUACUCUUGCUCUUCUACCAAAAGCUGAACUCAGGAAAUUUUCAGGAAUUUGGUUAUACGAGGUGAUGGAAUAGGGACCCAGGGUUUUCCAGAAACCAAGAGUAAUUCUAAAAGGCAAGACCUUAAGGGACAUCCUCUUCUUUGGCCGUCAAAGCAACCGGAGCUGUCACUGGGAUUAGCAGACAGAGGAUCAUGAUGGGGUUCUCUUUAGCUAUGAAACGAGGAAGAAGAAAAUCUUCUCUUAACAAUAAUAUACACGUGCCAUGAGAGAGAUGAAGCAGAAGAUUAAGCAAGAAACCCAGCUAUUUUAUUGCCCUAAGGCAUUACUCAUUUUCCUGACACAUUAUGUUUUUAAUUAAAAUUGCAUGUGAGUUAAUUAAAAUAUUCACUCAGGCCCUUUUUUCCCUCUUCCUGCUUGGGUUCCUUGCUACUCUUUUAGCUUUUUGGUAAAACUCAGUUUCAUUUUAACUCAGGUGCCUUUAUCAGCUGCAACUUUAAUAAAGAGUCUGUAUACUGAGGUAACUAAAAAAAUAAAAUCUAAUUUUAAAAAUUCACCCCUAAGUGACCAAGGUAAAGGGAUGUGGCCAGGAGUGAAAUCAUUAAGUCUUUUAUGUUCUUCCCUGCUUAUUUAAUCAAAAACAUGAAAUUAUCAUUGAUAGAAAGUGUAUUCAGAAGAAGUACUGUGAUUUUUUCCUAUGCCAGGCGUGUUUUUCUUGUUAUAGACACGUUUAUCCAUCUACAGUCCUUUGUUCAGGAAAGGAUCAUAGCUUAUGGCACCUACGGUUGUGUAACCUCAGCUUUCCCUGAUUACAGCUGAUUAUUAGCCUUUAGUGGACAUCUAUCCAGUUCAACCUAUCAAUGGAUCAGUAACCCUGAGAAACAAAAUCCCUCUUGUGUAGACACUCAGAGACCUUGGUUACUGAUGAGUCCAUAUUGGAUCUGUGAGGACAAAUAGGCCAGUACUGGAGGCCAUAUUGGGUCGCUUGUAAACAAAGGAAGAAUAGACAGGAAGAAGCAGAGAUAGUUGCAGCCACGUGGCUAUGAGACAGACAAGAGAGAACCUUCAGUUUCAGUGUCUUCCCCAUCUACUUCCCUUGAGGCCUGGCUGAGUCCUUACUGUAUCCCUGAGAUGGCUUUUUUUUUUUUUUGCAAAAACCCCUUUUUAAGAGUUAGCUAAAAUGAAUUCUGGAUCCUUGUAAACAAUGAGCUCUAACUAAAACAUCUGUGCUUCAAAACUCCAUAUAUUCCUAAGCAGCCCUGACAGAGAUAAUAUUAAAAAGCAAAACCAUAAAAUGGGUAGUAAGAAACCAGUUAUUGCAGUUCAAGAAUAUAUAGGCUGAAGCCGCCUGGUCGAAGUGAAGUCCAGGAGAGAGAAGAGUGUUUUUUCCAACUGUAGUAGAACCCCCUUCGUGAAAAGUUUGGGAAAAAUCUGUUUCUGUUCUUUUUUCAUUUUUUUUCCAUCUCCAAUGAUGUUUUAGUACCUUAAAAUGUUAAUGAGUCUGAGAAACUGGUACCCUGGGCAGCUACUUGCGACCCACUUGUUAAUUUAUCUCUGCUACCUAGAUAAGGAUCUCAAUGUCUUUCUCCCUAGAUUGGAUUUCUAAAGUACCAGAAUUAGCCCAGAUGGGUGUGGUGCUCGCCUAAGUCUGACGUUGCAAUCCAUUAAUCUUCUGAACUCUUAAACCUCCUUCACAGCUUAAAUUUCAUGGUCUAUCAUUAUAAUUCCAUCUCAACUCUUUAUGGCAAAACCAUGUUUGAGGGUUAAAUCCGUAUCUCCACCAACUUCUUGCCUACAUUUGGACAGUAUGUAAAUGGAGGAAAAUUUACUGCUAUUCUAACUGACCUCCAGAAAGCAAAAUUAUCAGCUGAGAGUGAGUAUGGUAAAGAUAGAAAUACAUAUUGGAGAUUUGGGGCAUGACACUCACCUAUCAUAUUUACUUUCGUACCUACAUUGUACCUUUCAUAUGCCUGCAUAAGUUGUUUAUAUGGAUGAACUGGCAAUGCUCCUACCUAUGGUCAACCUCUCCACAUGUGCAGUAAGUAGAUCUCAUUCUCUCUACAUGAGGAUAUUGCUUCAAAUCUCCCUUCUCUCUUACAUUAUCAAUUUGCCCUUUCUUCUGGGGCUACCUCAUCAGCAUAACAUCUUACUGUUAUUUCUCCCAUCUUCAAAUUCUUUCUUGAUUGUUCUUUUCCCUUCAGCUGUCAUCCCUUCAUUCUCUUUCCCUUAAUUGAUGAACUCCUUGAUGAAAUUUACUGAACUAGUGCUUCCUGUUCCUCUGCCCUCAUUCCCUCUUGAAUCAACUCCAUUCGGACUUUGGCCCCUACCCAUUCCAUCAAAACUCUUGUUAUCAAGCCUCGAUUGGCCGUUGCAUUUCUAAACACAAUGCUCAGUUUGUAGUCCUUAGCAGAGUUGAGCACCUCUUCCUCUUUCAUCAUCUGGCUUCCAGGACGUCAUACUCUCUUGGUUUUACCAUUUCACUAGAUCCUCCUUCUCAGUCUCCUUUGCUGAAUAUUAUUCUCCUCUUAAUGUUAUUGUUCUUCAGGACUUAGUUCUUCUUAUCUCUAUCUACAGUAGACUCACCCCUGGUGAUAUCACUGAAUCUCAUGGUUUUAAGUAUAAUUUCUAUACAAAUGACUUUCAGAUUUAUAUCUCUUGUUCAGACAUUUCUCCUGAAAUUCAGACCUCUACUUUCACUUGCCUACUUGACAUCUUCAUUUGAAUAUCUGUUAAGAAUCUAAUACUUCAGUCUAAAACUCAACUCCUGAUAUUCUACCAACUAAUUGCUUUUAUCCAUAGCCUUCUCUGUCUCACUGGAGGGCAGCUCUAUUCUUCCAGUUUCUCAGUCCAAAACAUUUGAGUUCUCUAAGAUUCCUCUUUAUCUUUCUUUCCUGCUUAUAAUAAUUAUUUUAUAAGAUGCUAUGUCCUUUACCUUGAAAAUAUUUGUCCAGAAUCUGACCACUUCUUGCUAUCUCCACUGCCACCACCACCAUGUCUAUCGAUCAUGAUUAUUGCACUAGCCUUAUAACUGGUUUCCCUGAUUCUCUGUUUGUGCCUCUACUGUCCAUUUACAACAGAGCAGCAAGAGUGCUUCUUUUAAAAUGUAAGUGAAAUUGUAUCAUUCAUCUGCUAAAAAUCCUGCGAUGGCUCCCUAUUUUACUCAGAGGAGAAGCCAAAGUCCUCACAAUGGGUAACAGGGCCUUGCAUAUCUCACUCACUUCUAGACACAAUGACCACUUUUCUGAUCCUUCAAAACUCCAAGAACACUCUUCAGUUCCUUCAGCUUUCCUCUUAGAUAUGCACAUGCUAAUCUCCUAACCUCAUUUAAGUCAUUGUUCAGAAGUCACAUUUUUAGUGAGUCUACCCUGACCGCCUAUUUAAAAUUGCAGUCUCCCAUAUCCUGAUGCCUCCUAAUCUGCUCUUUUGUUUUCUAUAGAGCUUAUCAUCUUCUAACAUACUAUAUGAUUUACCUUUUUAAUAUUUGUUUAUUCUGUUAUUAUUCUACUGAUCAUCUCUUACAUAUGAAAAUGUAAUCUCCCUCUAAAAUUAGGGGUUUGUAUGUUUUUUUGCAUUAAUAUUUUUGAUCAUCUAGAACAGUAUGCCUGGCAUAUAGUAGGUACACUUUCAACAAAGCUUGAAAACCAGCCUUAAAAGUAUCAACCUAAUUUGUAAGUAAACUCAUGCCCUGGCAGACAAAUCUUCAUACUCUUUAAAGGAACACAACAGAAUCCAGACACAAAAUCCAGACAACAAAAUGCAAACACUGGAUAUCAUAGCAUUUAUAAUACCUAACAUCUAAUUUUUUAAAACUACUGUACUUACAAAGAAGUAGGAAAAUAUGACCCACAACCAUGAAAAAAGUCAGCUAGUUCAAGGCAAAUGUGUAAAAGAGAAAAAUGGCUUUGGUGCUUUCUUCCUGUACAUUCAGUGAAAUCUCACAUCUCAAAGCUUUCUAAGCUUGCAACAUAGCCCCCAGCUCACAGUGCUCAGAGCUUCACACAGCAGUGCUCUCUCUUCUUUCUCUUCCUCUAUAUGCAACUUAACUCAUUUGAUCUGUCUUUAUAGUAUUCUUUUUUACUUAGUUUCUCUCUCCUGUAUAUAUCAAGUUUCAACUGGCUAAUCUUUUAAUCUAAUAUAUUAUAACGAGGAAAGGCUAAAGCUACAAAAACUUCCCCAUGUCUAUACUACGUGGGGCCUCUCUUUACCACACCAUGGUAUUGUCAUCUUACUCUAAAUUGUAGAAACUUCACUUGAAUAGAGGAAGAGUAAUUGAUUAGAAAAGUUCACUUUGAAGGGAAUCUCAUGGAACCACCGAUGGAUAGGGUGGAUGCCUACUUUGAAUUUCAUUUCUGGGGGCCAAACCAAUCAUUAUUGUUGUUACUGGGGCACGAGAUCAGGGAUGGACAGGCUGUGAUGGUGAUGGGAAGCAAAAUCACCAAGUAUUGGCCAGAUUUUCUUAAUUUUCUCCUGCCUUAGAUUGGGAUUGCGGUGCUUGAGACUGAUGUGGGGUGCACCCAGCAAGAAGAUACCAAGUAACCCCAGAUGGAGGAUGAAAGAGAAGAGAAAUGUCACUCCUAGCAUGAUUGAUCAAAAUGUGUUUUAUUAUUGGUAUUGGCGGUGAAUCAAACAUGCGACUUCACACACACAACGUAUUCUUUGGAGUACUGCUUCAGGUUCUUGCCCUAUAAACAAAGAACGUCUGUUAAAUUCUACAUCAAACAAUUUCCAUCAACAAGUAAAAGGAUGGGGGCUGCCCUGUGGCCGAGUGGUUAAGUUUGCCGUGCUACACUCUGGCAGUCCUGGGCUCACUGCUUUGGAUCCUGGGCACACACCUAGCACCACUCAUCAAGCCAUGGUGAGGCGGCGUCCCACAUAGAAGAACUAGAAGGACGCACAGCUAGGAUACACACCCAUGUACUAGGGGGCUUUGGGGAGGAAAAAAAGGAAGAUUGGCAACAGAUGCCAGCUCAGGGCCAAUCUUAAAAACAAAAUGUCAAUGAAUGUCUGGCAUGUUUAUAAUUGUAUUCACUGAAUUUUGAACAUAUUCCUAAAAGGAGAAAACAAUUUUUUUGACUAAGGAAUAGUGAGAACCAAAUAUUCCACUUAGAAUUUUGCAUGUCUGAUAAUUGGAAGUGUCUUCCACAGAUUAGCUCCGUGCUCCAUGUAUUUCAAGUCUUAUCCAUCUGCCAUGACUCACAUUUGUCUUAUCCAGGACACACUUAUAUCAAGAUGGGCUGCACAUUUAUAUCACAUCACAACAACACAUGAUUUGGCAUAGUGGGCUGUAGGAAUGUUCUGGAAAUUUCUUCCUAUACUGGGACAGGUAGGAAUAAUUUAAACUUAACAUAAAUGACCAAAAAAAAAAAAAAACCAUAAAUAUAUCCCACUAAACCCAACUUAAAUAUAUCCCUAACUCAACUUUUCCUUAGCUCUAUUCCCAAAGUUUCUGUUGACCUCCAGGCCACAAAGUGGAAGGGAAGUACUGAGGGGAAUUUGCAGUGAAAGAGCAGUGGUCUUCACAGAUCAUGAUUAAUGCAGUUUGCUUUGGCAAAGUUUACAAAAACAUAUCACACGACCUUGGGGACAAAUUGCUGGGGUAACCCUCCGAGCCUAGAAAGAGCUCGUGGAAGAGAGAGACCCUGAUGCAAAUGCCAUCGCAGGUUAUGACUAGAUCUGCCUCUGGCAUGUUUCAUUUGCUCUGCUGUAGACUGCCACCGUAUAGAAGAAACAAACUCCUGUGCCCGUUUCUUAGCUGAUACGAUACCCAGCAGGAUGUCCCCUCCCUUCCAACAGUGUUAAAUGCUUUCUCCAGAGAGUUCCUUUAAAGAGUCUGAAAUUCCCAGACAAAGAAGAACCACUGGGUCAUGAGAGCAAGAGUAGCUUCACUCCCCUGCUACAACGUCCACAUGAGCUCUCAAGAUCCAUUUGUACAUAAUCUGCUUAGGGUUAAAAUCCUGGCUCAGGCAUUUACUACCUGUACAAUGUUGACCAAGCUACUUUAACGUACCUGAGCCUUACCUCCUCAUCUGUAAAAUACGCACUGUUAUAUCUACACCAUAGCAAUGAUUGCUAUGAGGAGUACAGGAAAUAAAUGAUGUUAAGUACCAAGCGUAAUGCCUGGUUCAUAGUGGGUGCUCAGUAAGUGGCAGCUAUGGUUGUCCUAAUCCUCAUGGUUACUUUUUAUUUGUCAUAGACUCCCAAUUGAUUUAUUCAGAAACGUAGACUGUGAGCUCCGAAAGUGGAACCUAUCAGUUGAUUCAUCUUUGUAUCCGCUAUGCAUAGCACAGUGUCCGUUACAUACAGUAGGGGCUUAGUGAAUAUUAUGGAACUGAAUUGGCAGAAUUUGGACAAAACUCUUAUACACCCAGCUACAAACUUUGGAAAAGAGCUUUGCCUCGCUUUUCUAUCACCAAUUGCUGCACAGAAAACCUUCCCUCUCAGUGGGUCACUCCUGAGAGUGGAUUACUAUGUAAUGGGUGUCACCUAUUCCUCAUUACUAAUCCCAUCUCUGUCAUUUACUAGUCUGAUGCUUUGGACAAAUGACUUUGCCUCAGUCUUUUUAUCUGUAAAGUGAAGAUAGUAGUUUCUCCCUCCUGGGGCAGUUGUAAAGAUAAAAUGAGUUAAUACACACAAAGCUCUUAGAAAAGUGCUUGAUAGAGAAAAUGUGCCACAAAUGUAACUAUUAUUAGUUAUCACCAAAAUAUCCCAGGCUUUGUGCUAGAAUUUGGGUUUUCGGAGCUCAGUAAAAUGCUACCAAGCGCCAUUCUCGGGUGGGCCUUUUCGGCAAUAGUCUUUCUCAUUGUGUUUUUCACACUUCUCACUGUUCAGCCUCUGUUUACUAUUUUUCUCCUCCAGCCUCCACAUAGGACACAGGAAGCUUCUGUCUGGUUAUUAUGCUUUAGUGACAGCACAUGAGGCUAUAUACUUGCUUUUAAAAUUCUUCGCUCUCGACACCUGAACAAACUUUAGAUUUGGUAGAAUAAGCUGGUUAGGAAUCCAUCCAAGGAAUUUAAUGAGAGGACUUAACAAGAGCUAACAGAGCACUUCAAACUAAUGCUCACCAUAUGUAAAUGUGUGCCUUUCCUCUCGUGAGUGAAAAUAGAAACAUGAUUAGGAGAAAAACUUGAGUAUCUGUGCAGAAGAUGUCUGCAAUAUGGGUUUAAUUUUAAUAAGCAUUUUAAUAUUUCCUUACCAUUUUAAUGAUUUUAAUACAGAGUAGGGCAUCGCAUUAGUUUACAAAGUGAAUAUUUUCAUAUUCUGCCACACUGCUUUGCAUUUUCAAGCAGAAUCAACUUUUCUUGUUUCUUGGACUUCUUUCCCCUUGACUUGAGCUGGUCAUUGAUCUACGUAAUCUCUAAACCUCCUUCCAUUUAAUCCAUUUGUUAUUUUAGGACAUCUAAAGCAUUUCGGCUACUGACUAUUUUGGCAUCAGGGCCAUCUAAGUCAUGCAUAGGUUUGUUAUUCCAGUAUAGUCAUUCCCCAAAUUCAUUUAUUGACUUAUCAUGGAUAUUUCUCUUGUAUUUCUAAGCUCUGGCAUCAUUUAUUAGGAAGAUAAAUGAGAGUAAUUAAGCUUCAAGGCCAUAAGUGUUGAAACUCUUUGGAAUUAGAAAGCUAUUAAAAUGACGGAGUGCUUGGCUCUGCCUAGGUAAGUCCUGAUCUUUCACCUAUGGCUCUACUACUUGGAGUAACCUUUGCUGGCUCUCCUAACAGCACUCGAUGUUUUCAUGAGGCCAAAUAUAACCCCACAGGCAGUGCCUUGGAUGGAUGGCCAGUUUGUUUUCAAAGGCCAUUUUGACUAGAUUACAUAGCACUAGACUAGAC